rnacentral:rRNA from 1 species
AUACGAAGGGGGCUGGCGUUGUUCGGAAUCACUGGGCGUAAAGCGCGCGUAGGUGGAUCAAUUAGUUGAGGGUGAAAUCCCGGGGCUCAACCUCGGAACUGCCUUCAAUACUGUUGAUCUUGAGACCGAGAGAGGUGAGUGGAAUUCCUAGUGUAGAGGUGAAAUUCGUAGAUAUUAGGAAGAACACCAGUGGCGAAGGCGGCUCACUGGCUCGAUACUGACGCUGAGGUGCGAAAGCGUGGGGAGCAAACAGGAUUAGAUACCCUAGUAGUCC